AACUCUGAGUGGUGGAUCACUGGGCUCAUGUGUUGAUGAAUGCAGCUAGCUGCGAGAACUAAAGUGAAUUGCAGGACAUAUUGAUCAUUGAGACUUUGAAUGCACUUUGCAGCCCUGGGUUACUCCCGGGGCUACGCCUGUCUGAGGGUCA